rnacentral:rRNA from 1 species
ACGGAAGGCAGCAGUGGGGAAUAUUGGGCAAUGGGGGCAACCCUGACCCAGCAACGCCGCGUGAAGGAAGAAGGCCUUCGGGUUGUAAACUUCUUUGACGAGGGACGAUAAUGACGGUACCUGAUGAAUAAGCCACGGCUAACUACGUGCCAGCAGCCGCGGUAAUACGUAGGUGGCAAGCGUUAUCCGGAUUUACUGGGUGUAAAGGGCGCGUAGGCGGGGAUGCAAGUCAGAUGUGAAAUCCAUGGGCUUAACCCAUGAACUGCAUUUGAAACUGUAUCUCUUGAGUGUCGGAGAGGUAGACGGAAUUCCUAGUGUAGCGGUGAAAUGCGUAGAUAUUAGGAGGAACACCAGUGGCGAAGGCGGUCUACUGGACGAUAACUGACGCUGAGGCGCGAAAGCGUGGGGAGCAAACAGGAUUAGAUACCCUGGUA